CCCAAGCUUGGAUGUGCUAAAACUCAGGUUCUGUUUCAGCAGAGGGGAGGGUGGGGGCAAUGGAGUGGGCCACACUCAGGCGACACCCAGCCAGCAAGAGCCUUUUCUUUCUCCCUCCCCCAUAGUGGUCCAAGCUUGCUCAACUGGUACUCUUGUCACAGCACUAAUUUGAACAAGGUGAGAAAUACCCAUGUGUUCCAAGCCCUUAGAACUGCAGAGAUAAGGAUACACAUGCAGCCUGAAGGGAAAGAAAGGGAAGUCUGUGUAGUGUCUUCAAACAGAAGGAAAGCUCUAGUCCCAAUGAGUUUCCAGGAGGAAGGUUUCUAUUGUGAAUAAGAGAGAACACCCAGAAACAUCUGGACGAGUCCAGAGCAAAGAGAAAGAAAACGGAGACUGGACGUGGCCGGAGCUAUCCGGAAGAAAAGCAAGAGAGAACAGUGAAGACAACUGGGUUCCAUGCCUCCUCUGCAAUUGAAUUCUGGACCCAGGACCACAGAGAGCCGUUUUCUAGGAAGACUGUCUCCUCAUACCUCGGCCACCGAAUCUAAGAUAAACAGUAUCUCCAACUUCCUCCUAGGGCCUGUCUUUCAAGGAUCCAGACAUUGACACAAGGGUGUCCAAACAGAUUUUUUAAAAAAAAUCUUCCAGUAGUUGGCCCCCCAGGCACUCACUUGGGCUCCAGUCUGCAAUCACUCUGCAUUCCAUGUGUGUGCUCUGUCAGGUCCAUUUUCAGAAUCUCUUGAGGGACCAGACAGGUGCCUUAGGCCUGCAAUCCCUACUGUUCAGAGACUGAGAUAGGAGAUCAGGAGUUCAAGGCUAGCCUGUGUUACAUAGCACGACUGUCUCAGUCUCGGGAAAGAUGAGUAAGAAUGAGUGACAGGUAAAUUGUGGACGUGGGAUUAGAUGGAAUGGGCAGGAGUGACAGGAAAACUUUCAAGAGACCCUCACACUAUUUUUAUUAUUAUUUUUUUUGUGUGAUUUCAACUAUGUUACAAGUUCAGGCGGCUAAACUGUGCAAGGUGAACUUUGUUUUUACUCCCGUAAUCCAGAUGCCCUUUUACCAGAUGGGUUUCGGCAGACAUCUCUCUGGUUUGCCCAUUUGUUAGGAAUGGGGAAGAUGUAUUUGUGUGUAUGUGAUCAUUAACUGUUAGAUCCUGGCUUUUUGCUUCCAUCUAGCGCUGUGGUUGAGGUGAAGAACCCUGUAGAUUGGUGUUUUCCAGUGUGCCGUGGGUGGCCUGGCAUUUUGGCAACUAUUAAGAAAAAUUUAUGAUCACUGCUCGGGUGUUGUGGUAAUGUUAGACAGCCAUACUUUAGGUUUUCUGAACACCUUCUCUCAACUUCUCGUUGCAAAGCAGUAAAGCCCCUGGUGGGGCAAGUCUACACUUGGGUGGUGUUCCAGCAUUUCCUAGCAUUUGGUGGUGUGGGUCAGAGGUUAACACUUCUACUCUUUAAACUUGUUGAUUCACAGUCUCCUAUUGUCUGCAACAUAGUUUCCUCUGCUGAGGUGUUUCAAUGGCCCGUAUCUAAAACCAUAGAUGCUUAUUGUUUGAAAAUUUCUUUCUCUUUUGGGGGGCACGCCACCUGGCUCCUAAAUGAAUGAAUCACUCAGGGAGGCUUAUUCUUCUUAGUUAUGAAUACCUGGCCUUAGCUUGCCUUGUUUCUAGCCAGCUUUUCUUAAAUUAACCUGUCUACCUUUUCCCUCUGGGCUUUUUAUCUUUCUUACUUCUCUAUAUCUUAUUUCAGCUCGUUAUAUAAACACCAUCAGGUGUCUUAGACAGGCAAAGAAUCACAGCUUCACCAAGUUGAACAAAUGCAGCAUAAACAAAAGUCAUACACCUUAGAAUAACAUUCUACCACAGGCGCUUGCUGCAGUACCCUCCGCCUUCCUCUGCAAACCUAAGCUGACUGGUCUGCAUGGGGUACUGUCAUUGGCGUACCUUCAAGUCAUCCAUACAUUUGUAGUGUCUGUGGUACAGUUCUUUGAAUUGAAGAUGUGAGGGUACCAACGGUGCUUUUGGUCUGCUUAGAAGGUCUUGGUUGGUCUUCACACUCCUGGCAGGGUGGCCUCCUGGCUGGAGCAAUCCCAAGAUGCUGUUGAUUGCAGAGACGUCAGUGUGGAGACCCCUGGAUCCUAGGACACCUUGUGGGUGGACCCAUGAGUGCCGCCACGUCUAAUUACCGCCAACUGCCUGCAGACUGGCUGAUGGGACGGACCUGCAGUGUGCUAAGUGUAGAGGGAGAAAUUCCACCACGCUGUUGAAUAGCAUCUCUUCUGGCUGAUGUCAACUUGGCACAUCCUCUCUUCUCCAAUUGGCUGAGUGUCCCUCAUUAGGAAAAGUAGUGUCUUUGGCAUGGACCAGCGAUGUGAACCCGAGCCAGCUUCUCUGUGAACCGGUGAUGCUGGUGUAUCUUCUAAUAUCUCUGGGAUACAUUUCUUUUUCUUUUUUUGUUUUUGUUUUUGUUUUUUUGAGACAGGGUUUCUCUGA